ACUCUUGACCUCGGUACCCAUAAUGUGUGGAACUCGUGAUCAGAGAAUCUUGAUUCUCGAUCACUGAGUUCCAAACAUAUAGGAUUCUACAUCAGCCAUCAGAUCAGAUAGGAACCUCUAAUGUGUGUGACCCCGCAGGUUCGAACCUAAGCCGGUAGCACAGGAAUCAAUUCCUAUACUAAUCGAAGUGACCAUCUAGCAAUGGU
rnacentral:lncRNA from 1 species